rnacentral:rRNA from 1 species
GAUGAACGCUAGCGAUAGGCUUAACACAUGCAAGUCGAGGGGCAGCAUGAUCUUAGCUUGCUAAGGUUGAUGGCGACCGGCGCACGGGUGCGUAACGCGUAUGCAACUUGCCUUACAGAGGGGGAUAACCCGUUGAAAGACGGACUAAAACCGCAUACACUUGUAUUAUUGCAUGAUAUUACAAGGAAAUAUUUAUAGCUGUAAGAUAGGCAUGCGUCCCAUUAGCUGGUUGGUGAGGUAACGGCUCACCAAGGCGACGAUGGGUAGGGGAACUGAGAGGUUUAUCCCCCACACUGGUACUGAGACACGGACCAGACUCCUACGGGAGGCAGCAGUGAGGAAUAUUGGUCAAUGGGCGAGAGCCUGAACCAGCCAAGUCGCGUGAAGGAAGACAGUCCUAAGGAUUGUAAACUUCUUUUAUACGGGAAUAACGGGCGAUACGAGUAUUGCAUUGAAUGUACCGUAAGAAUAAGCAUCGGCUAACUCCGUGCCUGCAGCCGCGGUAAUACGGAGGAUGCGAGCGUUAUCCGGAUUUAUUGGGUUUUAAAGGGUGCGUAGGUUGUUCGUGGAAGUCAGCGGUGAAGACCGGAGGCGCUCAACUUUCAGUGCGGCCGUUGAAUCUGCUUGGCUUGAGUUCAUGGCGGCUUGCUGAAUUUCGUGGGUUUAGCGUGUAAUUGCUUUGUAUCUGUGUGGAUGUCGGAUUGUGUUGGGCUGUUUGGCUUGUUGUAUGUGAGUUGUUGUGGUGGGCUUGUGUUGAAACUGUAAUAUGAUGCCGUGUGUGCCAUGGGCUGUGUCGUGUGUGUGUCUGUGUAGUGAGUCCUCCCACCUGUUGUGGAAAAAAGAAAACAUGUGUAGUGUUGUGUGAUUGUAGUGUGAUGUUAAUUGCCUGUGUUGUGUGUCUGUU